UUCUAAUUCAGUGCAUCCAUGUAUUGUUAUAAAUCUGUUUCCCAAUCUUGCUUUUUCACUGAAAGAUGUAGACACAAGGGAACAAGCUUCACUGCUAUCUAUCAGCUCAGAUAAGGAAAAGUUCCUUUCAGCCUGACACUGACAGCUUAAUGAAACGGAGGCCGAGAUGCAUGCAAAUGAGAGAAAGACUGGUAAGCUUUUACAGGAGAUGGAGAAUAAGAGGAAAAUACUGGGAAGAACUUCCAAUUACAUACUCCAGAUAGAACUGUGAGCAGGAAGUACUCA
rnacentral:lncRNA from 1 species